rnacentral:lncRNA from 1 species
AAUAAUCUCCACCCCCUGCCGAGGCUUCAACAUUAUAUCUAUCCCUCCUUGCUCUAGCGGGCAGCAAGAAGCACAGCACCGCCAGUUACCACGCAGACAUCCUGGAGAACUGAGCCUGCUCCAGGUUCCUGACUUGAGGUCCUGUCCAGGCCUCUCUCCAUGAUGGACUAUGAUGGGGAUAUGUAAGCGGAAAUAAAUGUUCCCCUCUGCUGCUUUUGGUCAGUAUUUGUAUCACAGCGGGAGAAAGCAAACUCGGACAGAUAUUCAUCAGCUGUACAAAGAGAAAAGGCAUAAACUGCUGGAAGCUGUGUCCUUGGGUUAUGGGCACUACUUCCCACAACACCCACUGGCUUUGCAUGGAGACUCUGGACCUUCAGAACGACGCCCGGUUUCGCCACACGGAUACAGUGCUUGUGAUAAACUAGGUAGUAGGCCUGGUUCUGUUGCUUUCCCCCUUGCUGUGAGGAAAUCCCUGAGAAAGAUAAUUUAAGGAAGGAGGGGUUUGCUCUGGCAGCUGGAGUGAGAGGUGGCUGGCCACAGGACGUGGCAUUCGCUAUCAGGACGCAGAGAGAGAUGAAUGUGUAUGUUCACCUUCCCUUUCCACGAGGUCUAAAACCCCUAGCCCACAGAGUGCACCGUCUACCUUAGGGUGAGUCUUCCUGCCUCAGUUUACCGAGUUUACAAACUCCUAUGUCUCCAUGGUGAUUCUAGACCCUGUCAAGCUGACAGUAUUAACCACCUCAGGGGUUCACUGCUAGAGAUCCUGAGAGCACACAUUUGAUCUGCUUUGUAAAUACACGAUUUCGUUGCCUGAAAUAAUUUAGUCAGAGGCCGACCCUGGAUACCAUUAAAGUUGUUCUCCUUUU